rnacentral:rRNA from 1 species
GGGCCCGCACAAGCAGUGGAGCAUGUGGUUUAAUUCGAUGCAACGCGAAGAACCUUACCAGGCCUUGACAUCCUCGGAACUUUUAGAGAUAGAAAGGUGCCUUCGGGAACGCAGUGACAGGUGCUGCAUGGCUGUCGUCAGCUCGUGUUGUGAAAUGUUGGGUUAAGUCCCGUAACGAGCGCAACCCUUGUCCUUAUUUGCCAGCACGUAAUGGUGGGAACUCUAAGGAGACUGCCGGUGACAAACCGGAGGAAGGUGGGGACGACGUCAAGUCAUCAUGGCCCUUACGACCAGGGCUACACACGUGCUACAAUGGGGCGUACAGAGGGUUGCGAAGCCGCGAGGUGGAGCCAAUCUCUUAAAGCUUGUCUCAGUUCGGAUAGGAGUCUGCAACUCGACUCCUUGAAGUUGGAGUC